rnacentral:rRNA from 1 species
GACGAACGCUGGCGGCGUGCUUAACACAUGCAAGUCGAACGGAAAGGCCCUGCUUUUGUGGGGUUCUCGAGUGGCGAACGGGUGAGUAUCACGUGAGUAACCUGCCCUUGACUUUGGGAUAACUUCAGGAAACUGGGGCUCAUACCGGAUAGGAGCUCCUGCUGCAUGGUGGGGGUUGGAAAGUUUCGGCGGUUUGGGAUGGACUCGCGGCUUAUCAGCUUGUUGGUGGAGUAGUGGCUUACCAAGGCUUUGACGGGUAGCCGGCCUGAGAGGGUGACCGGCGACAUGGGGACUGAGAGACGGCGCAGAAUCCUACGGGAGGCAGCAGGGGGGAAGAUUGCACAAUGGGCGGAAGCCUGAGGCAGCAACGCCGCGUGCGGGAUGACGGCCUUCGGGUUGUAAACCGCUUUGGCCGGUGACGAAGCGUGAGUGACGGUAAUGGGUAAAGAAGCACCGGCUAACUACGUG